rnacentral:sRNA from 1 species
UUUUAGCCCUGAUGGAAGUCUAAAUCCUCCCGAUUUCUUUUCGGGAGAUUGCAACGUACAGCAGGAAUAGCU